GACGAACGCUGGCGGCGUGCUUAACACAUGCAAGUCGAACGGAAAGGCCCUGCUUUUGUGGGGUGCUCGAGUGGCGAACGGGUGAGUAACACGUGAGUAACCUGCCCUUGACUUUGGGAUAACUUCAGGAAACUGGGGCUAAUACCGGAUAUGAGCUCCUGCUGCAUGGUGGGGGUUGGAAAGUUUCGGCGGUUGGGGAUGGACUCGCGGCUUAUCAGCUUGUUUGUGGGGUAGUGGCUUACCAAGGCUUUGACGGGUAGCCGGCCUGAGGGGGUGACCGGCCACAUUGGGACUGAGAUACGGCCCAGACUCCUACGGGAGGCAGCAGUGGGGAAUAUUGCACAAUGGGCGGAAGCCUGAUGCAGCAACGCCGCGUGCGGGAUGACGGCCUUCGAGUUGUAAACCGCUUUCGCCUGUGACGAAGCGUGAGUGACGGUAAUGGGUAAAGAAGCACCGGCUAACUACGUG
rnacentral:rRNA from 1 species